rnacentral:rRNA from 1 species
AUUGAACGCUGGCGGCAGGCCUAACACAUGCAAGUCGAACGGUAACAGGAAGCAUCUUGCUGCUUCGCUGACGAGUGGCGGACGGGUGAGUAAUGUCUGGGAAGCUGCCUGAUGGAGGGGGAUAACUACUGGAAACGGUAGCUAAUACCGCAUAAUGUCGCCAGACCAAAGAGGGGGACCUUCGGGCCUCUUGCCCUCGGAUGUGCCCAGAUGGGAUUAGCUUGUUGGUGGGGUAACGGCUCACCAAGGCGACGAUCCCUAGCUGGUCUGAGAGGAUGACCAGCCACACUGGAACUGAGACACGGUCCAGACUCCUACGGGAGGCAGCAGUGGGGAAUAUUGCACAAUGGGCGCAAGCCUGAUGCAGCCAUGCCGCGUGUAUGAAGAAGGCCUUCGGGUUGUAAAGUACUUUCAGCGGGGAGGAAGGGAGUAAAGUUAAUACCUUUGCUCAUUGACGUUACCCGCAGAAGAAGCACCGGCUAACUCCGUG